GCCGGGCAUGGCGGCAUGUGCCUAUAGUCCCAGCUACUUGGGAGGCUGAGGCAGGAGAAUUGCUUGAACCCAGGAGGCGGAGGUUGCAGUGAGCCAAGAUCAUGCCACUGCACUCCACCCUGGGUGACACAGCAAGACUCUGCCUCAC
rnacentral:SRP_RNA from 2 species